GGGAAGAUGGCGGCGUCCUCGCUGGAGCAGAAGCUGUCGCGGCUCGAGGCGAAGCUCAAGCAGGAGAACCGCGAGGCCCGCAGGAGGAUCGACCUCAACCUCGACAUCGGGCCCGCCCGCGCCCGCCCCACUCUGCAGCUGCCCCUGGUGAGCGAGGGGGCCGGGGGCCCCAGAGCCCCCAGCCCGCGCCCCCGGCCCCGCCACAUGCUGGGACUGCCCCCACCCCCCUUCCUGGGGCCCCGCAGCGGAGACAGCAUCGAGAUUGAUCAGAAGCUGCAGGAGAUCAUGAAACAAACGGGGUACCUGACUGUGGGGGGGCAGCGGUACCAGGCCGAGAUCAACGACCUGGAGAACCUGGGGGAGAUCGGGAGCGGCACCUGCGGGCAGGUGUGGAAGAUGCGCUUCCGCAAGACCGGCCACGUCAUCGCCGUCAAGCAAAUGCGGCGCUCGGGGAACCGCGAGGAGAACAAGCGGAUCCUGAUGGACCUGGACGUGGUGCUGAAGAGCCACGACUGCCCCUACAUCGUGCAGUGCUUCGGCACCUUCAUCACCAACACCGACGUGUUCAUCGCCAUGGAGCUCAUGGGCACCUGCGCCGAGAAGCUCAAGAAGCGCAUCCAGGGCCCCAUCCCCGAGCGCAUCCUGGGCAAGAUGACGGUGGCGAUCGUGAAGGCGCUGCUGUACCUGAAGGAGAAGCACGGGGUGAUCCACCGGGACGUGAAGCCCUCCAACAUCCUGCUGGACGAGCGGGGCCAGGUCAAGCUCUGCGACUUCGGCAUCAGCGGCCGCCUCGUCGACUCCAAGGCCAAGACCCGGAGCGCUGGGUGUGCUGCCUACAUGGCGCCCGAGCGCAUCGACCCCCCCGACCCCACCAAGCCCGACUACGACAUCCGGGCCGACGUGUGGAGCCUCGGCAUCUCCCUGGUGGAGUUGGCCAUGGGGCAGUUCCCGUACCAGAACUGCAAGACGGAUUUCGAGGUGCUGACGAAGGUGCUGCAGGAGGACCCCCCCCUGCUGCCCCCGGCCAUGGGCUUCUCCGGGGACUUCCAGGCCUUUGUCCGAGACUGCCUCACCAAGGACCACAGGAAGAGACCAAAGUACAACAAGUUACUGGAGCACACCUUCAUCAAGCGCUACGAGACGCUGGAGGUGGACGUGGCCUCCUGGUUCAAGGACGUGAUGGCCCGGACAGAGUCCCCCCGCCCGGGGGGGGCCCUGGGCCAGCACCACCUGCCCUUCUUCACCAGGUAGCGCCAGCGGGGACGGGGACACCGCUGGGACACCGGCCUGGGACAUGGGGACACCGCUGGGGACACUGUCCUGGGACAUGGGGACACCGCUGGGGACACUGUCCUGGGACAUGGGGACACCGCUGGGACACCGGCCUGGGACAUGGGGACACUGUCCUGGGAUGGGGACACUGUCCUGGGACAUGGGGACACUGUCCUGGGAUGGGGACACUACCCUGGGAUGGGGACACUGUCCUGGGACAUGGGGACAUUGUCCUGGGACAGGGACACAGGGACACUGCCCUUGGACACUGUCCCGGGACAGGGACACUGCUGGGGACACCCACCUGUGACACUGCUCUGGGACAGUGACACCUGGGACACCCCCUGGGUCACCCCUGGGACACCCCCUGGGACUGUGACACCCACCCAGGCCCAGGACACCCCCUGUGACACCUGAGACACCCCCCUGUGACACCUCCUGGGCUGGAACACCCCCAUGUGACACCCCCUGGGACACCCCAAGGUGACCCCCACGGCCCCGGCAGCCACACGGACACGCGUGACGUGGCGUGUCCCAGGACAUAGCGGUGUGUCCCAGCGUGUCCUGGGACAUCCCACUAUGUCCCAGUGUGUCCCAGCGUGUCCCAGUGUGUCCCAGCAUGUCCCAGCAUGUCCUGGGACAUCCCAGGGUGUCCCCAGUGUGUCCUGAUGGAACCUGGCACCACGUGGACCCUGCUGUGUCCCAGCACGUCCCAGCACGUCCCAGUAUGUCCCAGCGUGUCCGAGCGUGUCCUGGGACAUCCCAGCGUGUCCCAGCGUGUCCCCCCCGGUGUCCCCCUGUCCCCAGUGCCGGGGGACACCCCUGUCCCCUCCGUGUCCCCUCUGUGUCCCCUCCAUGUCUCCUGGGCAUGGCCUCAGUGUCCCCAGGAGCCCGAGCGGGGCCAGGGCCGGGGCCAGGCCGGGAGGUGACCCUGGGUGUGACACGAGGACAGGAGGUGGCCCCGGGUGUGACACGAGGACAGGAGGUGGCCCCGGGUGUGACACGAGGACAGGAGGUGGCCCAGGACACGAGGACAGGAGGUGACCCCGGGUGUGACACGAGGACAGGAGGUGGCCCAGGACAUGAGGACAGCGGGACGUGGCCCAGGGACACACGGACAGGGCGUGUGACACCGAUGUGGCACCGGGGGGGUUGGGGAUGAGAGGGGACGAGGACACUGAGGGGACACUGAGGGGACACUGAGGGGACACUGAGGGGUGAGGAGGUGGCACCGCCGUGACGAGGGGACACGGCCCGGAGGAGGCACUCGGGGACACGGAGGUGGCAUCGGAGAUGGCACUCGGGGACAUGGACGUGGCACACGGAGGUGGCACAUGGAGAUGGCAUCGGAGAUGUCACGGGAACAGGGAUGUGACACCGAGGGACAGCGCUGGGGACAC